CAUGCAUGUCUAUGCACACGCCCUUGAAUGGUGAAGCCGCGAAAAGCUCAUUACAACAGCCAUAGUUUAUUGGAUGUUUACGUUCCUACAAGGACACCUGCGGUAAUUCUGGAGCUAAUACUUGCGAAAUGCGACAACCUCACGGGAGUCGUGCAUUUAUUAGAUUAAACCAAUCGGUCCUUCGGGACCGCCAUUUGGUGAACUCUGAAUAACUUAGCUGAUCGCACAGUCUCGUACUGGCGACAAAUCUUUCAAGUGUCUGCCUUAUCAACUUUCGAUGGUAGUUUAUACGACUACCAUGGUUGUAACGGGUAACGGAGAAUAAGGGUUCGACUCCGGAGAGGGAGCCUGAGAAACGGCUACCACAUCCAAGGAAGGCAGCAGGCGCGCAAAUUACCCACUCGCAGAACGCGGAGGUAGUGACGAAAAAUAACGAGGUGGCUCUCUAUGAGGUCCAUCAUCGGAAUGGGUACAAUUUAAAUCCUUUAACGAGGAUCUAUUGGAGGGCAAGUCUGGUGCCAGCGGCCGCGGUAAUUCCAGCUCCAAUAGCGUAUACUAAAGUUGUUGCGGUUAAAAAGCUCGUAGUUGGAUCUGCGCUCGGUGAAAGCGGUCGCCCGAUGGGUUGUUACUGCUUCUCCCGGGCUAACCAUUCGGUUUUCCCUUGAUGCUCUUAACUGAGUGUCCUGGGUGACCGGAACGUUUACUUUGAAAAAAUUAGAGUGCUCAAAGCAGGCGAUUUGCCAGAAUAUUCGUGCAUGGAAUAAUAAAAGAGGUCCUUGUAGCCUUUUAUUGGUUAUCGCUACGAGGAAAUGAUCGAAGGGGACAGACGGGGGCAUUUGUAUUGCGACGUUAGAGGUGAAAUUCUUGGAUCGUCGCAAGACAGACUACUGCGAAAGCAUUUGCCAAGAAUG
rnacentral:rRNA from 1 species